UUUGCCCUACACCAAAAAUAUGUUAAGAAACCAAUGGUUGAAAAAUAGAAGGGAACGGGAAGAGGAUUCGAGCUCAUUAGAGGAGUUUUUGAUUUUGGGUGCGGUGGCUCGGUUGAGCUCCACCCUCCGUUUUCAGCUUCUCUUUUGGUCUUUCAGCGCCGAUAAGGGUUUAAGCUGGCUUAAAAUCAGAAAACAAAGCGAACAUGAAGAAAAAACUCAGCUUCCAGCGUCGGCGACUGGUUUGGCAGUAAUGGCGACUGGUUUUCUUCUCCAGUGACUGAUCUUCU
rnacentral:lncRNA from 1 species